GACGUUGAUAGGCUGGGUGUGGAAGUGCAGUAAUGCAUUAAGCUAACCAGUACUAAUUGCCCGUACGGCUUGUCCCU
rnacentral:rRNA from 1 species